rnacentral:tRNA from 1 species
GCCAGCAUGGUGUAGUGGUUUGAGUGUUGGACUAUGACUCUAGAGACCAGAGUUUGAAUCCUGGCUUGGCC